UGGGGAAUAUUGCACAAUGGGCGCAAGCCUGAUGCAGCCAUGCCGCGUGUGUGAAGAAGGCCUUCGGGUUGUAAAGCACUUUCAGCGGGGAGGAAGGCGAUAAGGUUAAUAACCUUGUCGAUUGACGUUACCCGCAGAAGAAGCACCGGCUAACUACGUGCCAGCAGCCGCGGUAAUACGUAGGUGGCAAGCGUUGUCCGGAUUUAUUGGGCGUAAAGCGAGCGCAGGCGGUUUGUUAAGUCUGAUGUGAAAGCCCCCGGCUCAACCGGGGAGGGUCAUUGGAAACUGGGAGACUUGAGUGCAGAAGAGGAGAGUGGAAUUCCAUGUGUAGCGGUGAAAUGCGUAGAUAUAUGGAGGAACACCAGUGGCGAAGGCGGCUCUCUGGUCUGUAACUGACGCUGAGGCUCGAAAGCGUGGGGAGCAAACAGG
rnacentral:rRNA from 1 species